rnacentral:rRNA from 1 species
UACGUAGGGUGCGAGCGUUAAUCGGAAUUACUGGGCGUAAAGCGUGCGCAGGCGGUUUUUUAAGCCAGCUGUGAAAGCCCCGGGCUCAACCUGGGAAUGGCAUUUGGGACUGCAAGGCUUGAGUGCGGCAGAGGAGACUGGAAUUCCUGGUGUAGCAGUGAAAUGCGUAGAUAUCAGGAGGAAUACCGAUGGCGAAGGCAGGUCUCUGGGCUGACACUGACGCUCAUGCACGAAAGCGUGGGGAGCAAACAGG